rnacentral:lncRNA from 1 species
AAAUAUGAUCUAAUUUAGAUAGGUAAAUCAAGCUUCUUUAAAAGUGAAUUAAUAGUUGUGGGGCCGUGGCUGCACAUUCUAGUCUGACACAUCAAAGAAUGGGAGGGUCAACAGGAUAUUUAAAGAAAAUAUUGUAUUGUAAUGUACCUGUGGAUGGACCAUCGAUCCUCCAGCUGCCAAUGAAUAAGCAGUGCUACCCGAUGUUGUUGAUAAAAUUAACCCAUCACCUUGCACACAUGUGACAAAGGAGUUGUCACAAUAGCAUUCCAAAUUUGUGAGGUAGGAUGAUAUUCCACGGUCAAUCGUAACCUCAUUCAGAACAAGUAUAGGCUCGUCAGUUUCAACCUCAUUUGUUGCUGCAUCUCUAAUGACAUGGCAUUGUAAACGAUGUCGCAAUGUUAUAUUAAUUGGACCCCUAAGAAUUGAAUCAAGGCAAUCUCUGUAAUGUUCACUAUCUAAAAAAUGUUAAAGGAUACUUUUUGAGUUCAGACAAAGAGAAGGUAAUAAAUAUUUAAAGCAAUUGUAACUCCUGCAAAAGAGAAGCCAGUAUUAGCAAUGGAGAAUUUCUUUUCCACUUGAGGAAUUAAACUUCUUUGGAAAAUAUUAAGGAUACGAAACGGUGUCAUAAAGCCAAGAGAACCUAGAGAAAACGGAACAAUGGGAGGAACUGGUCCUUUGAACAUAGAUGCUGCCUGCAAGUAAAAAAAGGCAGAUAGUAACUUCUCCAAAGGCAGAUGAAAGGAAGAGAAGCACAAAAUAAAAAUAAGGCAGAUGUGGAUCAAACUGAAAGAACAUACCCAAAGAACAGUACCAUCCCCACCAAGAGUAACUACAAGAUCAACUUUUUUGUGCAGUAGAGAAAUUUCCUUGUCUGCGAACGAGUUCAUACAUAGUGAAAUAUCCAUAAAUAAAAAAGCAAAAUAUUGUGUCCCACAAAUUUGAGUUCAAACAGUGUUUAUAUUAGCAGUAGUGAAAUUCACUUGGUUAAAUCAAUGAUUCGCUAUAAGAUUGUGUAGCAAUUUACCAUCUUUCCAUGUUUUCACAAAGUUGAAGUAAGACGAUUCUGUCAGAAGUUCACCCCUCACACGUGGUUCCACGUAAAUGUUUAACUUUUUAUUUUCUUCCAACCAUCUGGUAAUGGAAAUUGAAAAAUUAGGCACAGAAAAUUUUUUGCUUAAUUGCACAAGCAUUUGUAGAUAAGAACUAUUAAUAUCAAACUACGAGCUCUGGAACAAUUUAGAUAUUCUUUUCAGAUAAAGAAAUGAAAAUAAUGCAACACGAGAAACCACAAUUAAAACUCUUUUCUAUAGAAUAUUUUCCAAAGCAUUGAGGAACUUCAUCGUGAAAUGUACAUUAUUAACAGAUACAUGUUCAUGGUCAGUAAAAUCAUUUACAAAUACCUACACAAUAAUGAAAGCAACUAAAUUGAGAAACUCAUUUCAGAAUUGAAAAAUGUAAAACAAAAAAAAAAAAAAAAAAGUCUCCUUCAUCUCCAAGCGUCCUUCUCUUUCAGCCAGGACUGAACCUCUUGUAAAUCUGCAAAGGCUUGCUAACAGAUUUCAUCAUCAUCUGCAGAUAAUUGUUGACUAAUUUUGCUAAAUUUCAAACUCUUAUGUAUUUCCGCUUCUAUAAUGCAUACUAGCUAGAUUUGCUUGAAAAAUUAAACUAAAUAUUAUUAUUUAUCACAGGGCCAUCGAAAGAUUGGGUCUUUCUAAGGUUCCAGUGAAGGCCCUCGUGAAUGCUGCGCAAGAAGUCAUUGGUGGAAUCAACUUGGCAUGCUGUAGGCACAGGCCAAGGCGCCAUGCUGCACACAAGUGCAUCGCCGGCUGCUAACUGUUUCCUGUCCUUGCCAUCAAAUGAUACCCAAGCAGAGCUUCUACUGUUGAAAGGAACUUGUACCCUUACUGUUACAUGUUCAGGUAAUAUCAGAGGCCGAAAAGACAAUGAAUGUGGACAAAUUGGUGUAAAGAGGAUGCCUGGAACCUGCAAUUACAGAAUAUAACAUUUAUAAGGUUUUACUAACAUAAAACGAAAACCAACAUAAAAUAUGAUCUAAUUUAGAUAGGUAAAUCAAGCUUCUUUAAAAGUGAAUUAAUAGUUGUGGGGCCGUGGCUGCACAUUCUAGUCUGACACAUCAAAGAAUGGGAGGGUCAACAGGAUAUUUAAAGAAAAUAUUGUAUUGUAAUGUACCUGUGGAUGGACCAUCGAUCCUCCAGCUGCCAAUGAAUAAGCAGUGCUACCCGAUGUUGUUGAUAAAAUUAACCCAUCACCUUGCACACAUGUGACAAAGGAGUUGUCACAAUAGCAUUCCAAAUUUGUGAGGUAGGAUGAUAUUCCACGGUCAAUCGUAACCUCAUUCAGAACAAGUAUAGGCUCGUCAGUUUCAACCUCAUUUGUUGCUGCAUCUCUAAUGACAUGGCAUUGUAAACGAUGUCGCAAUGUUAUAUUAAUUGGACCCCUAAGAAUUGAAU